rnacentral:lncRNA from 1 species
AUGAGUGAUCAUAGGGAUAAAAAUGGUGUUAUUGUAGAAGAAUUUAUAGAUAAAUAUGAGUUAGUAGUGUUAAAUGAUCGAAGGCCAACUAGGUAUCAUAUUGUCAGAAAUACCUGCAGUCAUAUAGAUUUGUCAAUUGCUUCGUCAAACUUAGCUAGAGUUGGUGAAUGGGAUGUUAUAGACACGUAUACAUUGGGUAGUGAUCAUUAUCCUAUUUUAUGCAGGUUUGGUAGGGAUUUGAGGAGCGAAGUGGAAAAGAAAGCCCCUAGAUAUAACUUUUCUCAGGCUAAAUGGGAUAAAUGUCAGGAGAGGGUUCAGAGCUUAGUAGGAGAGAUUGAUAGUGAGGGUACUGUAGAUAGUUGGAAUACAUCCAUUAGUCUCAUGAUACAUGAGGCCGCUUGUGGUACCAUUCCUCUGAAGCAGGAACCUAGGACUCGUAAGCUGGUUCCUUGGUGGAAUAAUGAAUGUGAUCAAGCUGUAAGGAAUAGGAAUAGAGCAUAUAGAAGAUUAAGAAAGUUUCCAAUGUUGGUUAAUGUAAUGGAGUACAAGCGGCUAAGGGCAGUAGCAAGAAGAGUUAUAAAGGAUGCAAAGAGGAAUAGUUGGAGGAAGUUUUGUGGUACGCUAGGCCCUGAGACUCCUGUAAGGCAUUUGUGGUCUGCAAUACGUAGAAUGUCAGGGGUAUAUAAAAUAAGAUUGAUACCAGUAUUACAGAAAGGUGAGACAGUAGCAGUUUCCAAUAAGGAAAAAGCAGACAUGUGUGUUGAUAGUUUUCAAGCAGUGCAGUUAGAAAACGAUAAUCCUAUUAAUCUGUUUUUUACUAUAAAAGAGCUGAAGGAUGCAAUUAUGUCUGGGGCAAAUACUACCCCGGGGAGAGAUAGGUUGUCUUAUGAGUUUUUUAAGCAUCCGGAUGAUAUUGUACUUGAUGAAAUCUUAGCUUUGUUUAAUAUGGUGUGGGCAGAGGGUUAUUUGCCCAAGGAAUGGAAACAUGCAGUUGUGGUCCCUAUCUUGACGCCAGGCAAAGAUCCAUCUGACCCUAGUUCAUACCGCCCUAUAGCGCUCACAGCAGUGGAGAGUAAUGGAGAAGAUGGUAACCAACAGACUAGUGUGCUUCAUAGAAACCAGACGACUCUUUGUUGA